rnacentral:rRNA from 1 species
AGCGAACGCUGGCGGCAGGCUUAACACAUGCAAGUCGAGCGCCCCGCAAGGGGAGCGGCAGACGGGUGAGUGACACGUGGGAACGUGCCUUUUGGCUCGGAACAACCCAGGGAAACUUGGGCUAAUACCGGAUAAGCCCUAACGGGGAAAGAUUUAUCGCCAAAAGAUCGGCCCGCGUCUGAUUAGCUAGUUGGUGGGGUAAUGGCCCACCAAGGCUACGAUCAGUAGCUGGUCUGAGAGGAUGAUCAGCCACAUUGGGCCUGAGACACGGCCCAAACUCCUACGGGAGGCAGCAGCGGGGAAUAUUGGACAAUGGGGGCAACCCUGAUCCAGCCAUGCCGCGUGAGUGAUGAAGGCCUUAGGGUUGUAAAGCUCUUUUAGCAGGGAAGAUAAUGACGGUACCUGCAGAAAAAGCCCCGGCUAACUUCGUGCCAGCCGCCGCCGUAA